rnacentral:rRNA from 1 species
AUUGAACGCUGGCGGCAGGCUUAACACAUGCAAGUCGAGCGAGCGGCGGACGGGUGAGUAAGGUCUGGGAAACUGCCUGAUGGACGGGGAUAACUACUGGAAACGGUAGCUAAUACCGCAUACCAUCAGAUGUGCCCAGGUUGGAUUAGCUAGUAGGUGGGGUAAUGGCUCACCUAGGCGACGAUCCCUAGCUGGGCUGAGAGGAUGACCAGCCACACUGGGACUGAGACACGGCCCAGACUCCUACGGGAGGCAGCAGUGGGGAAUAUUGCACAAUGGGCGAAAGUCUGAUGCAGCAACGCCGCGUGUGUGAAGAAGGCCUUCGGGUUGUAAAGCACUUUCAGCGGGGAGGCGUUAUUCGAAGAAGAAGCACCGGCUAACUCCGUGCCAGCAGCCGCGGUAAUUC